rnacentral:misc_RNA from 1 species
GCGUAAUUGUCUUCAUAAAAACACGAUCAUGAGAAUUCAGGUCUGAAAUUGCAAGACAAGACAAUUAAGGGGAGAAAAAGAUGGGAUUCUUGGACAAUUUCCCUGUUCAGGUAAUACCAAUAUAUACAACAAUAAAGGUAAAUAAUAGGACCAGUUGGGUACUGAUUCUCCCACAAUUGAAGCAAUUGGUGAAGAAUCUCGAAACUUAGAAGUUUCAGAAGUUCAGAAGCCACAAAUCUGGAAGCAAAAGACGUCAAACAAGAAGCAAAAGAAAAACAAGAAAGUCUUGAUGGUGAUGAUGGAGGGGUCAAAAUAGCGCCGCCGUUUCAAGAAGAAGAAGAAGAAAAACGCAAGAAAGAUGGUUGUUUUUCUCUUCCCAUUGAAGCAGCAGAAAUGGUUUCCGGUAGUUCGGAGGAUAAGGAAGAGUUUAAGGCUCCUCCAAGUCAAGAAAAAGAAUCAGAAGCAGCUAAAGUUAGAAACGGUGAGUCAUCGAGAAACAGCGAGGGUUUUAGCGUGGAAAAUUCAUUCGCAGAUAAUGAAGACACAUCUCCAGUGGUGAGAUCGAAGAGAG